UUUGUCUCAACAAUUUUAAAACUGCACCGCUUCAAAGUUUCAUGCUGGCAAACACGACUGCACUUGGUUAAUGUACCAUUAUCUGUCCAUUUACCUAUCGCAUAUUAAAAAAAUAUAAAUCAUUCCAUAGCUUAUGAAUUAAGGCAUUAAUUUCAAGCAUUAAUUAUACAGAAAAUUUUCCACAAUUACUCGAGAAUUGAUAACAAAGAUAAAAAUUGUCUUAAAAAAUGUACAUUUUCUUUACAUUUUAUCUUUUUUUUCCCAAAACGAGGUUGUUGACCUGUACUUUUUUUAUUGUUAAAUGAUAGUACAGGAUAUCAGCUAAAAGUUGACAUCUAAAUUAUAGCCCUAGUUAAAAUAUUUCCCAAGUUGCGCGAGUCCAAACACGAUCUUCUGUGAUGUGCAUCGAACUAAAGUUGCUUUAGUUCCAAAAGAUAAUUCGGGCGGGAUUCUAUUCUAUUCUAUUCAAUGUUUCUUUGGAACUAAGUUAACGCUCAUUACAUAAGGUCUUGUUUGGACUCGUGACUUGUGAAGUGUUUUAACGAGGGCUAUCAUUUUAAUAUCAACUGUUAGCUGAUAUCCUGUACUACCAUUUAACAAUUAAAAAUCCCUGUUUUCUUAUCCUGUAUUUGUCAGAACCAGAAUAUUAUAUUAAUGGGCCGUGCGGCCUGAUGUUGAAAUUAUAAAUUACAAAUAUAAUUUGUUCUUCCCACGGUCACAAUGAACCCAAAUAUAAUUUGUAACGCCCACAGUUCAUUAUGAACCUCCUACACUUCCCUUUAUUUCACACAAUUUUAAUCAGUAUUUCGUAAAUUCGGUUUCCGUAUUGUCCUCCAAAAUAAGGUGUAAAUCAUUUCGCCCCCGCCUCUAUUCGCCCCGGGUAUUGUUCUGGACAAUGAAGUGUGUGAAGUAACCCCGGAGCUCCGGAGCGUGCGUGGCCGUAGAUUAGAGUCAUUGUGUUUUUGAAUCGAGCUAGAAAUGCGUUAAAUUGACAUUGUCUUUCCUACAACUUAGGCAACAAAUCAAAUUCUUUUAUUAAAUAUUUUGAUUUGUGGUUUAAGAGCAAUUCCUAGCUGAGCAACUUGCCAAAUUUCGAAUUUUUGAAGCUAUCUUUCUGUCGCGCUGCGGUGGGCGGGAGUGCGUGCAUGCGACAAGGACAACUGCAGCUCGGACUAAAAUUCCUACGCAAAAAACUCUAAAAUCGAGGUUUCGCUCUCUACUGUUUCCUCCUCCAAAACGCAACCAAUCAUUAUGAACUUUUGGAAACUGCAAGAGGAAGAAAUAAUCUAUGCCGCUAUGUUUUGAUUUUUUGGAUAUUUGUUGUCAUAUUUGUAUACUGCGCCUUUAUUUUCACCCAAUUCAAUUGAGCCGUUAUUGCGCUUUCGAGGCCCUGUAAGUUUCUUCAAAAUAAAAUAAUCCAAAAAAGCAAAACAUAGCGGCACAGAUAUUAAUGAUACUGAUCUAAUUUGAAAAAAUGAUUGCUCUAGGUUCAAAAUCCAGGGAGGAAACAGUCGAGAGCGUUUGUAUGGAAAAAUCGCAACUAGGAAUUCCUCUUAAAUAGUUACAAUUGUUACAAACAACCACUGUUUAUUAUGGAGGAGCGGGACUUCCUGACACAGGUAUUUCUUACCUACUAGGAAGACCCAACCUUGUUUGUCAUAUGUGUACCCAACAUUUAUGAAAUAAAUCAUUUUCAUUUUCACUUAAA